GUAAGGAAUAUUGGACAAUGGACGCAAGCCUGAUCCAGCCAUGCCGCGUGAGUGAUGAAGGCCUUAGGGUUGUAAAGCUCUUUCAGUGGGGACGAUAAUGACGGUACCCACAGAAGAAGCCCCGGCUAACUUCGUGCCAGCAGCCGCGGUAAUACGAAGGGGGCUAGCGUUGUUCGGAUUUACUGGGCGUAAAGCGCACGUAGGCGGAUCGUUAAGUCGGGGGUGAAAUCCUGGAGCUCAACUCCAGAACUGCCUUCGAUACUGGCGAUCUUGAGUCCGGAAGAGGUGAGUGGAACUCCUAGUGUAGAGGUGGAAUUCGUAGAUAUUAGGAAGAACACCAGUGGCGAAGGCGGCUCACUGGUCCGGUACUGACGCUGAGGUGCGAAAGCGUGGGGAGCAAACAGGAUUAGAAACCCCAGUAGUCC
rnacentral:rRNA from 1 species